GAUGAACGCUGGCGGCGUGCCUAAUACAUGCAAGUCGAGCGAACAGACGAGGAGCUUGCUCCUCUGACGUUAGCGGCGGACGGGUGAGUAACACGUGGAUAACCUACCUAUAAGACUGGGAUAACUUCGGGAAACCGGAGCUAAUACCGGAUAAUAUAUUGAACCGCAUGGUUCAAUAGUGAAAGACGGUUUUGCUGUCACUUAUAGAUGGAUCCGCGCCGCAUUAGCUAGUUGGUAAGGUAACGGCUUACCAAGGCGACGAUGCGUAGCCGACCUGAGAGGGUGAUCGCCGCCACGGAGACGGUCACACGGCCCGGCCUCCUACGGGAGGCACCAGUAGGGAAUCUCCCGCAAGGGGCGAAAGCCGGAAGGAGCACCCCCGGGGGAGUGAGGAAGGUCUUCGGGUGGAAAACCUAUGUUAUGGGGGAAAAACAAAUGGGAAGGAAACUUGGCCGUUCUGGGGGUUGCCUAAGCAGAGGCCCACGGCAAACACCUCC
rnacentral:rRNA from 1 species